rnacentral:rRNA from 1 species
CAGUCGCCGCGGUAAUACGUAGGUGGCGAGCGUUGUCCGGAAUCAUUGGGCGUAAAGGGAGCGCAGGCGGGCAUGUAAGUCUUUCUUAAAAGUUCGGGGCUCAACCCCGUGAUGGGAAAGAAACUACAUGUCUUGAGUACAGGAGAGGAAAGCGGAAUUCCCGGUGUAGCGGUGAAAUGCGUAGAUAUUGGGAGGAACACCAGUGGCGAAGGCGGCUUUCUGGACUGCAACUGACGCUGAGGCUCGAAAGCCAGGGGAGCGAACGGGAUUAGAUACCCCCGUAGUCCCUGUCUCUUAUACA